AAUGGGAGUUCUUGUUAUGGCCAGCAAUAGUGAACCUGACUAGUAUCCACGAGGACUUGGGUUCCGUCCUUGGCCUGCCUUGGCUCACUGGGUUGAGGAUCCAGCGUUUCGGUGAGCUGUGGUUGUAGGUGGGAGAUGCUGCUCAGAUCCAUGGUUGCUGUGGCUGUGGUGUAGGCUGGCAGCUAUGGCUCUGAGUUGACCCCUGGCCUGGGAACCUCCCUAUGCUGAGGGUGCCCUCCUAAAGUAAAAAAUAAAAUAAAAUAGGGAGAAUGACAAUGCCUGUCUGAUUAGGCUGCCUGUGAAGCUACACAUGGAAGGGCAGGCGCAUGGGGCUGUCUGAAUAAGGGCCCUCUAGGGAAAGUCACUUCUUGUCUGUAAGAGAGAGAGAAUUCCACUUCAGUGCUGUGCACUGUCUCCACUUACCCACCCUGAGCAUUCCUGUUUCACAUCCCGCUUUACCUAUUUAUGUUUCUGCCACCUGCUACGUUGCUAUUGACACCCAUGAGUGUCACGUGGCAUGUGUAUAGACAUUGAGGUGGGCACACAGACACACAGAUGUAUAGCUGUCAUCACAGAUACACCGAAAUUAGUGCUGGACUGCUCUUCCCCUCGAUGGCAGGGGUUGUAUUUGCUGCUGUCUCCUCCGCGCCUGUAUUCGUUGACUGAAUGGACAGAAGAGGGUGAACUGAGACAAUAUAUCCUAGGCUCAGCCUGCUCCCGACCAGACUCUUCAGCCUCCCAUCCCUGGACCUCUGUUCAGAUCUGUGAGCGUCAGACCAUCUUCUGCUCACUCCUUUGGCUUCCCUGAGAAGGCGGUGGCUACGGGCCAGACACCCAACCAUCUGUCCAUUUCUCGCCGACUCCCUCCUUGUCCUGCCUGGUGUUCUGGCCUCUUGGGCAGGUGUCUUCGUCCCCAUCCUGGGCUGAGUGUGCCCUGAGGGCAGGAACAGCUGCUGGUCCACUCCUGCCCAGGAGUGUCACAUCGGUUCCAGGUGAUGCAGGAUAAAACAAGGAAAGUAAGAGCAACCCAAACCCCAGAAGAUGUACUCACCUUUCUAACAUACAAAGAGCACCUCAAAGUUAUACUAAAAGGCUAACUAUUCCAUAGGGGGGAACGUGGGUGAAGACCAGGCACUGAAUCAUUUCCUAGUUCGUAGAGAAGAAAAAGUGGUUUUGGGAUUUCCUCUUGUGGCUCGGCAGGGUAAGAACCCAACUAGUCUCCAUGAGGAUGAGGGUUGGAUCCCUGGCUUCACUCAGUGGGUUCAGGAUCUGGCGUUGCCAUGAGCCACUGUGUAGGCUGCAGAAGCAGCUGUGAUCUGGCGUUGCCCUGGCUGUGCUGUAGAUCGGCGGCUACAGCUCCGAUUUGAUCCCUAGCCUAGGCACAUCCACAUGCGGCGCGGGGUGGGGGAGGCAUAAAAGUAAAAAUAAAAUAAAGUCAACUAAAAUAAACUGAGUCAAACAUAGACGGUCGCUGGAGAUCGGCCCUGCUGCGAAACUCCCUGGAGCCCGGCAGCUUGGAUACCUGGGCAGCUGGCACCUUCCCUUCAGCUGGUGGGCCUGGUCUCCCCCAGGCCUCACCUCCCUGCCUCUCUCUAGGGUGAUCAGUUCUCCCCCCUCGUGGCUCUCGCUCCCAGCCAUUACCACCCUCCUGGGGCUCCACUUGCUGUUUCUUUCUGGUCACCCCCAGUCCCCUCCUGCAGCCAAGGUCUCCCAAAGUGCCAGGCACCUAUGCAGGUGGAGGCUGGACGUCUGUCCCUGUGGGGGUCUGUCUCCUAAGACGCUGCACCAUGGCUGCAACCCCCUCUUCAUAACCUCCUCCACCUGCAGCCUACUCCCGCCUUAGCCUUGCCUGCAUCCCCCCGGAAGGUGAGGGCCUUGAGAUAGUUAUGGGAUGAAGAAGCAGGUGGUCUUAGGUGUGGGGAAAACUGAGGUAGGGAAAAGGCGAGGUAGCUGAGUUCCAUGCUUCCUCAUGGGAUGUUCUGUUCAAAAAUGGGGCUGUGGGAGUUCUCCCGUGGCACAGCAGCUUGGGUAUCCAGUGUUGUCACUGCAGUGACUCAGAUUCGAUCCCUUGCCUGGGAAGUUCCGAAUGUCAGACAGGUGUGGCCUCCCCCCAAAAUGGAGCUGCUAAGCAUGAUCUGAGAGUGGAGUUUUCUUCUGUCUGAUGUCUAAAUGUUGUUCCUAAGACACCUGCAUAAACCCAGGUUUUGUUUGGUUGGUUGGUUGGUUGGUUGGUUGUUGGGUCUUUUUAGGGCUGAACCUGUGGCACAUGGAAGUUCCCAGGCUAGGGGUGGAAUUGGAGCCUCAGCUGCUGGCCAACACCACAGCCACAGCAACGCCAGAUCCUUAACCCACUGGGCGAGGCCCGGGAUUGAACCCAAGUCCUCAUGCAAACCGGUCGGGUUUGUUACUGCUGAGCCACGAUGGGAACCUCACAGGCCCAGUGUUAGGGCUGGUGGUCCCAACCAGUCUUCGCCAUCUUGACCUGGACAGCAGCCAACUCCAAGUUUCUGGGAAACAAUUAAGCCUCUGUUAGUAGAAGGGAGCCAUAAGUCCGAGGGGUUAUCUAGAGGGGUGGUUAAAGAGCCCCCAAAUAAUUAAGGCAAAGUUCCCUUGGGAUGCCGCAGGUUAAAUAUGGCAUUGUCACUGCUGUGGCUGGGGUCACAGCUGAGGCAUGGGUCCCACUCCUGGCCUGAGAACUUGUAUGUCCUGGGGGCACCGCCAAAAGAAAUGAGGGGGAGCUGGGUCAGUGAAGGCUGCUUACAAGCGGGGGUGGGGUGGGGCGUUACGCUCAUCUAAAUGUGAGCUCACCUCCACACACACCAAAGGAGCCAACAAACCCGAAAGAGUGUAGAUUUUCCACUCCCACCUUCAAACUGUCAGAAAGGAAGCCUCCAGGAGGCCAAGCGACCUGCACACCUUGACACCCUCCCGGCUCCACGUUCCUUCAGGAAUCAGGCGCCCACAGACACCUCCACCAGGGGGCAGCAUCUCCUGCCCAGCCCUUGGCUGGGCCCUGGGACUUGGUUUUGUUUUGGAUGCGCUGCCUCUGAACCCGCCUCUGGUAGGGGAAGAGGAGGCGCCUAAGGGUUCCUUCCACACGUUUUCUCUGGUCGCGCUCCUUCAGAGAAGUAGGUUGUGUCCCCCGCAUUUCAUUCUGGAGGAAACACAGCUAGGAUUUGAAAUCCGGGUCUUGGUGAUUCCCAGGCUGAAGCUGCUCCCGGGCAUCCACUUGCCCGGCCCAUCCCCACUCCUGCAGGCGCCUCUCCUCCUUCAUUUGUGCCCUCAGACAGGUGCUCGGUUAGGCUGCUGAGGAGACAAGGAUGUCCUCGGCUGCUUGCCGGGUGCGUUCCAUCCAUCCUGUAGCCUCUCCUCCAAGAAAUCCUUCCUCUCCAGUAAAGGCCUGAGCAUUCAGUACUACCCAGACCUUGCCCAGAAGGGCAGGAUUUUAUAGGCAUCCCUGGUGACCACCGAGGUCUCAAGGAUCCUAGACCAGGAAACUUCCAGCUAAGGGUCGAUGCUUGGUUCCCAUAGUCAGGGAACCCCCUGAGUACAUUUAACCAUCCCAUUGUGGAGUUCCCAUUGUGGCUCAGUGGUAAUGAACCCGACCAGUAUCCCUGAGGAUGCAGGCUCCAUCCUUGGCCUCCCUCGGUGGGUUAAGGAUUCGGCAUUGCCAUGAGCUGCGGCGUAGGACGCAGACGCGGCUCGGAUCUGGCGUUGCUGUGGCUGUGGCCUAGGCCGGCAGCUGUAGCUCCCAUUAGACCCCUAGCCUGGGAACUUCCACGUGCUGCAGGUGCAGCCCCCAAAAAGCAAAAGAAAUUAAUUUUGAAAAAAUCGUCCCAUUGUGCAGUCAUGAAUCCUGCAAGCUUUCCUGACUGCCCACUGUGUGGCAGGCGUGGUGCUGGGCACUGCAGAGCUGUGGAUGACAAGAGCCAGCUCCUGGGCUCGGCACUUCGUCUGCUGGGGAGAUGGCUCUAAGGAAGAACAACCCCUCAGCAGCUAGAAGUUGACCCCGGCUGGGGCGUCUACAGGAGGUGGCAUGCAGGUCCCAGCUAUUCUGUCCUCUCUGGAAUGAAUGCUCUGGAGUGACUCCUUAUCACUGAAAACCUUGGCUCUAAGGUCGCCAAUUGGAGAGCGCUUCAAGAGCAAUCCCCUACCCCCCAAGCCUGGACUCAUCUAAAGUAGCUCCCUGCCCAGUUACUCUCCAGCCCAUCUCCCUGUUUCAUUUUCCUUGCUUGUACGGGUCGUGAUCUGAAAUUCUCUCUUUGCAGUCAUUGUCUGUGUCUCCCCAUUGCCCAAUAUGGUGUACACUCCACGAGGGCAGGUCCCAGACUGGGGUGUGGAGGUGGAGACCGGAGUUCCCACUUACCUCUUCUUGGUCUUUUCUAGGGCCGCACCCGAGGCACAUGGAGGUUCCCAGGCUAGGGGUCUAAUCAGAGCUGUGGCCGCUGGCCUACUCCACAGCCACAGCAACGCGGGACCUGAGCCCCGUCUUCGACCUACACCACGGCUCACGGCGACGCCGGAUCCUUAACCCCCGGGGCAAGGCCAGGGAUCGAACCCGCAACCUCACGGAUCCUCGUCGGAUUCGUUAACCACUGAGCCACGAUGGGAACGCCCUGGAAUUCCUAUUUAGAAGAGACUGGAUUGGGGUAGGUCCACGGCCUGAGGCUGUCCUGACAAACCGGGCCCCUUUCUUCACCCUCAUCUUGCCGCAUCUCCUUCCCACUUGUUCAAUACCUUCCCUGGCAAACACAAAAGAUGCAACGUAGGGUAGAAUUGCCACUUCCAUCCCCUUCAUCAGAUAGUCAAGUGACAGUCUCCCUCUUGGGUGAGGCCCAGGAGAUCUUGGAGAAAUGCUAAAGAAGUUUCAAAGAUUGUGGAAGAAACAAAACAAUGGGCGUGUUUUCAGCUCCCAUUUGUUUGGUUUCAUAGACAAUGCAGCAUUUGUUCAAAGCCCAGGUUAGUUAAUUUCUAGCUGGGUGACCUGGGCCAGGGAUCAGAUCCAAGCCACAGCUGUGCCUUGUGCAGGAGCAGUUUCCACCUAGACGCCGCCGCACCUGCGGCGUCGCUGGAUGCUUUAACACACCGUGCCAGGCUGGGGAUUGAACCUGCGUCUCGGCCCUGCAGAGCCGCUGCUGAUCCUGUUGCGCCACCGUGGGAACGCCUCAGUUUCUUCUUUUCGGGUAAACAUACCUGGUUUGAGUUGUGUCAACUGCAAACAAAAUAGAAGCAGCUCACCUAAAUGUUGAGAGGUGUAGGUUAUUCAGCAGAGGCAAGGGGUGGGGGAAAUCAGUUUUUGCAACGAAAGACCUGGCAGUCCGAACAUCAAAGGACUGCUGCUCCUAAAAGAAAACAAGGGGAGUUCCCACUGGGGCUCAGCCGUUAACGAAGCCGACUAGCAUCCACGAGGUCACGGGUUUGAUCCCUGGCCUCGCUCAGUGGGUUAAGGAUCCAGCGUUGCCGUGAGCCGUGGUGUAGCUCACGGCAACGCCGGAUCGUGAACCCACUGAGCAAGGGCAGGGACCGAACCCGCAACCUCAUAGUUCCUAGUCGGAUUCGUUAACCACUGUGCCACGACGGGAACUCCUGUUGUUUUGCUUUUUGUUUUCUGCCAUGCUGGCAGCACGUGCAAGUACCCAGGCCAAGGAGGGAACCGGCACCAGAUCCUUAGGCCACGGAGCCAGCGAACUCCUGGGGGUUUUUUGGUUUUAAACGAUCCUGUGCUUUCUAAUCUAGACGGGCCUCAGGGUGCACCCAUGUAAA
rnacentral:lncRNA from 1 species